rnacentral:rRNA from 1 species
UCCGUAGGUGAACCUGCGGAGGGAUCAUUACACAACAAAAUAUGAAGGCCUGGCUUUGCGGCCGGCUGAAAUAUUUUUUUCACCCAUGUCUUUUGCGCACUUGUUGUUUCCUGGGCGGGUUCGCCCGCCACCAGGACCAAACCAUAAACCUUUUUUUUAUGCAGUUGCAAUCAGCGUCAGUAUAAACAAUGUAAUUAUUACAACUUUCAACAACGGAUCUCUUGGUUCUGGCAUCGAUGAAGAACGCAGCGAAAUGCGAUACGUAGUGUGAAUUGCAGAAUUCAGUGAAUCAUCGAAUCUUUGAACGCACAUUGCGCCCUUUGGUAUUCCAAAGGGCAUGCCUGUUCGAGCGUCAUUUGUACCCUCAAGCUUUGCUUGGUGUUGGGCGUUUUUGUCUCCCUCUUUGCUGGGAGACUCGCCUUAAAACGAUUGGCAGCCGGCCUACUGGUUUCGGAGCGCAGCACAUAUUUUGCACUCUGUAUCAGGAGAAAAGGACGGUAAUCCAUCAAGACUCUUACGAUUUUUAACUUUUGACCUCGGAUCAGGUAGGGAUACCCGCUGAACUUAAGCAUAUCAAUAAGCGGAGGAA